rnacentral:lncRNA from 1 species
ACAACCAGGACAACUGGGGUCCCGGCAAGGAGACCACGUGUGGACAAACCUGUACGUUAUGCCCAGGAGCUCAACUCCGGCUGGUUUGUGCUGCAACAUCGCCGAGGACUCCACCCAACUUAUAAGCGGGACUUGCUCCAUCUGCUCCCUCUGGCCUCUCACUUGCCACUCUGGUUGCUGCCUGGGCCCCACCCGCCUGCCUUGGCUACUUCCAUUUCUGCUUGUGGACAGAGGGCAAUGCAUCCAGGAAACGUCCCAAUGUGGAAAUGCGGCUCUCACCGCCCCUGAUACAAACUAAACACAUUCUUUCCAGAAAGCCUCCCUUC